AACGAACGCUGGCGGCAUGCCUAACACAUGCAAGUCGAACGAAGUCUUCGGACUUAGUGGCGCACGGGUGCGUAACGCGUGGGAAUCUGCCCUUGGGUACGGAAUAACUCAGAGAAAUUUGUGCUAAUACCGUAUAAUGUCUUCGGACCAAAGAUUUAUCGCCCAAGGAUGAGCCCGCGUAAGAUUAGCUAGUUGGUGGGGUAAAAGCCUACCAAGGCGACGAUCUUUAGCUGGUCUGAGAGGAUGAUCAGCCACACUGGGACUGAGACACGGCCCAGACUCCGACGGAAGGCAGCAGUGGGGAAUAUUGGACAAUGGGCGAAAGCCUGAUCCAGCAAUGACGCGUGAGUGAUGAAGGCACUAGGGUUGUAAAGCUCUUUUAACAGGGAUGAUAAUGACAGUACCUGGAGAAUAAGCUCCGGCUAACUCCGUG
rnacentral:rRNA from 1 species